GGUUGUUUGGAUGCGCGAGCACUCUUGUUUAACUUGAGAUGCUUGCGCCCAUUAGUCGCCCUUGUGGGGCUCGACGUUCUUGAUUAUCAAGAACACUCAAUCGAUCCCACACAUUACUGUGAACAAAAUAGAGUGUUCAUGUUAGGCCAUUAGGGUUUGAAUACCGUAGCAUGGAAUAAUAGAAUAGGACUUCCGGUUCUAUUUUAUU
rnacentral:rRNA from 1 species